UAUAUUUAGCUGUAGAGAGCCCAGAAUAAUAAAGAGGAAGAGAGGCUGACAGAAGAGAGUGAGCGCACGCAGGCAAUUGUCUGAGAAAAUACCUUUGCGGGCGCGUGCUCACUUAUCUCUCUGUCAGCUCAAAACCCUUCGCUUGUCUCUCGUCCUUACAACUCAGACUAUUGAAAAUUUUUCUUCCGCUUAUAUCUCUGCACGUCCACUUCUCUCUCUAUAUGUAUCUGUAGAACGCUUGAGUUCUAUAAAAGAGAAGUUAAAAUUGACUUAUGUUCUUUGUAUUGUUUGGAUUUCUUAUAUUAUAAUAAUAAGAAUAAUAUGUGAUAGAGCUUGGAAUUGGAAAGCGUGACUUUUCAUGGUCCUCUAUUAGUCUUUGACGAGGACGAACUACUUCAAGGUACGCUUGGUUACUGUUCAUACCCUAACGGAAAACUAUGAUUUUCUUUUGGAUUUUUUAUGUUCUUUCUCGUUUUCACCUUCUUCUUUGCUUAUCAAAUUCAUAACCCUCUUCUUCCUCCUCCUUGUCUUUAUUUUGGCCUCCAAUUUUGGGUGUUUUCUCCUCUCUUUAGCUUGUACCAAGUGGGUUUUCGCUAUAAAGUUUUCGAUUUUCUGUUUAUUGUGAAUCUUGCUGACAUCUUUUUGAUUUUGUUUGCUUUGUUGCCGCUUUGCUACUUUAUGUUUUUGCUUCCUCUUUAUGAUCUGGAUUUGGUUGACAUAAAAACUUUUGUGUCUUUGACUCGAUAAUUUUUUUUCCUAAAAUGAGAAAAAUGGUUUGUUUUCACUUCUGGGAAAAUAUGCUCGACUUUGUAGCCGUGAAUGAAGUUUCCCAAGAAGGCAAUCUUCUUGUACAGCACCAUUUGUUGUUUGGUUCUGGGAAGCAACAACAAACAACUUCUAUUUCCUGAAGCUUAAUCACUCAGGUUGGCGUCAUUCUUUUCAUGUUCUGAUGCCAUAUAGUGGUUUAUUCAAUAAUAUGAGGAAAUCUAGGUGACAUAUUGAUUCAUAUCACAGGUCUCAUAAUAAACAAAAUUCAGCUAAUGAGUUUGAGUUUUUUGGUGAUAUUUUUCUUGCACACCAGUUAACUAGUUUUCGUUUCUGAUAUAAUAAGUGAUCAGCUUAAUAAAAAAGUCUUCAUGAAGUUCUAUAGUGUUCUUGUGGCUUAUUGUCCUCAGAACUUUUUUUUUUCAUAUGAUUUGUGGUCCUUAUUUGCUCAAAUUUGAUUGAGCAUAGAUAACCCUUAUGGUUGUUGAAAUGUAUAUCAUUGUCAACCUGAAGUGGAUGACGGUGAAACUUUAUUUUUUUAUUUGUGAUAAUAAUAUA